rnacentral:rRNA from 1 species
UACGAAGGGGGCUAGCGUUGCUCGGAAUCACUGGGCGUAAAGCGCACGUAGGCGGAUCUUUAAGUCAGGGGUGAAAUCCUGGAGCUCAACUCCAGAACUGCCUCUGAUACUGGGGAUCUUGAGUCCGGAAGAGGUAAGUGGAACUGCGAGUGUAGAGGUGAAAUUCGUAGAUAUUCGCAAGAACACCAGUGGCGAAGGCGGCUUACUGGUCCGGUACUGACGCUGAGGUGCGAAAGCGAUGGGGAGCAAAGCUA